rnacentral:miRNA from 1 species
GGUGACGGAGAAGGAUUUUGUGGU